GACGAACGCUGGCGGCAUGCCUAACACAUGCAAGUCGAACGGUGCCGCCCGAUCUUGCUGCAGUGGAUCAGUUGCGAACGGGUGAGUAACACGUGAGCAAGCUGUCCCUGACCCAGAAAUAUGCUCUGACAGGAGCAUCUAAUACUAGAUACGAGUAAGGUCCGCAUGGUGAGCUUCUGUUGAGUUAUUCGGUUGGUGGUGGGAUCGCGUCCCAUCAGCUUGUUGGUGAGGUAAUGGCUCACCAAGGCGAGGCCGCGUAGCAGGCCUGGGAGGGCAAGCGGACCCACUGGGACUGAGAUGCGACCCAGACCACUACCGGAGGGAGAGGAGGAGAAGGUUGUACAAUGGGAGAAAGCAUGAUGCAGCGACGCCGCGUGGGGGAUGACAGCAUUGGGGUUGUAAUCCUAUUUCAGCAGGGAAGAAGCGAAAGUGACGGUACCUGCAGAAGAAGCACCGGCUAACUACGUG
rnacentral:rRNA from 1 species